ACGUGAGUUGGGUCCGGGCCUGUAUUGGGGCUCAACGAGUUUGGCCAUCCUCAGGAGGGGUUUGCCGAACGUCCUCAAGAGUGCAAAA
rnacentral:ncRNA from 1 species